AGGACUGGCUGCCCAAAGGACGUGAGCUGCCUGUGAGAGCAGAAUGGUAACAGAACCCGAGGAGCAAAUUUCAUCCCCAACCAGCAACUCCUACUUUAGGCAAAAGAAAGCGGGCGAUUUUUGACGAGUUGGAACGAGGCAAUGGGCAUUGUUUGUCAAAGGCCAAGACGUGAUUUCAGGGCUUUAGGAGAGCUACCCACACUGAACCUGGAACUCCUCUCUACGUCAACAAAAAUGGUAACGAGCAAGACCUUGGACAACUUGCUCCUCAGAGGGUGGCUACUCUACCUUCCCUAAAAAAGCAACAAGGCACAAGAAUUGGACUGUAGUGGACACUGUGAUGUACCACCAGCUGUCCCCCUCCAGGAAUGAAGGACUUACUCCACCCAGCUCCUGGAAGUGCUGCCAGCAGAAGAUGCUCAGUAGUCAGCCUCCACUUGGAUUGCCUAGGUUGAAGGAGCUACCUCACUGAAGGUCAUACCUCCUUUCUGGGUUUGCCUGGAUCCAGUGACUGAUUGACAUAGACAUCAAAGGCUCAGAUUCUUUGCACCAGCUUAGCAUAACUCAACAUAACUACAAAGGGUCAUGCAAUCUUUAGAACUCCUUGUAGAGUCAACUGCAGCCUCCCUUGGUACUGCAUCAUAGUUCAACCUCUUCCUUUGCUUACUCCUGCUCUUUCCCCGUUCUCUUCCAGGGGUUGAUCAUAAGAGCACUUCUUAGUAAUACCGUAAUACAGUACAGGUCUAUUCCUGAGGAACUUAACCUUUACCAUUGUUCUUCUGGGCCCUCAGCUUAGUAUUAACAGGACACUGCUAUAAAAAUGGGAUAGGCAGGAUAAGACCCCCAACUGAGGCUUAAUUCUGCCACUAACUAGCUUUUUGAGCUUGGCUACACUCUAAAUUCUCUUAUUCAUACAAGUUUUUAUUUUGAAUGUUUAUUAUACGACAUAUUUUGGUAAACAAAACUCAGUUCCUUUCCUCAAGGAGCUUAAAGGUCUAAUGAUUCUUAGGUUGUUUAUAUUAUGAAAGGACUGAACUUGAAUUGUAUUUCUAAACUUUUUGUUAAUUUAAGUCCCCAUCUCAAGCUCCGUAGUCUCCAUUCCAUUCAGGUUGAGAAUCACUCUAGGAACCAAGAAUAUUUGGUUAAGAUUUAUUUUAUGAAAAUAAGAUUCUUUCAUUUUGCAAACAGAAAAUUAUAUAAUGUGAUAAUAGAUAUGCCUUUUCAAACUGUACCUCUCAAGCCUUAGUGAUUUUGAUAGCACCCGAGGAACUACUGGACAGUCUCUUUGAGUUCAGUCAGGACAGAAACCAUAUUAGUUAUUUAAACAUAGAAGUUAAUAUUAAGAAUCAUGAAUUUGGCAUAAAGCUAAAUAGAAAACUGAAAAUGGGAAAGGAGAAUACUAAGGCACUACAACUGCCACUACUAAGGCUCGAGCAACUAAAAUAAAAUUGAAGUGACUUAGAAGCUUAGGGAAGAGGUCCCAUGGACCUGAGACCCAGACUUCUGAGGAGGGGUACUGCCAGGUUGGUGAUAAUAGUUCUGGAGCAGGAAGACUUCAUAAGACUGGUUUGGCAAGUUUGGAACAACUGCAAACUAGAUUCAGAUGUUGCUAUGGAAAGAUGCUGCUGGGCUGAGUAAGUAUUAGGACAAUGCUAACAAAAAUGGCAUACCUAGGAAGCGUGGAGGAAGCAAACAGGAAGCAGAGGAACAAAUUAAUUCUUCCCUUAGGAUUACUUUUCAGCAGAGUCCAAUGUGGAGCCACCUGGCAACGCAGAAAUGUGGUUUACAAGGUUCCAACCUUAGCAUCAGAAAGUGGGGUUAGAAGUCUUGGUUUUGGGGGUGCCUGGGUGGCUCAGUCGUUAAGCAUCUGCCUUCGGCUCAGGUCAUGAUCCCAGGGUCCUGGUAUGGAGCCCCGCAUCAGGCUCCCUGCUCUGUGGGAAGCCUGCUUCUCUUUCCCCCAUUCCCCCUGCUUGUGUUUCCUCUCUUGCUGUGUCUCUCUCUGUCAAAUAAAUAAAUAAAAUCUUAAAAAAAAAUAGAAGUCUGGGUUUUGGAGCUUAGAGACAAUAGCUUGAUAACUGGCACAAUCUCUAAAAGAUUUUUGAGAUUUAAUAUUCUACUUGUGUGCUUGUAGACCUGCAAAGACCUGUAGACCUGUAAUUAUCAAGUAAGAAUCUUCAUGGUUUGUCUUUUUUUUUGGUGUGUUUUCUUUUUAUGUACCUUGAUUCAGAGAAUAAAUAACUUGUUUCAGA